GAUGAACGCUGGCGGCGUGCUUAAUACAUGCAAGUCGAACGGAGUAUGUAGCAAUACGUACUUAGUGGCGAACGGGUGAGUAACGCGUUGGUGACCUGCCUCGAAGAGAGGGAUAACAGUCCGAAGGGAUUGCUAAUACCUCAUGUGAUCAUAGGGUUUAGAAGCCUGUGAUUAAAGGAGUAAUUCACUUCGAGAGGGACCUGCGUACCAUCAGCUAGUUGGUGAGGUAACGGCCCACCAAGGCGAUGACGGUUAGGGGACCUGAGAGGGUGGCCCCCCACAAUGGAACUGAAACACGGUCCAUACACCUACGGGUGGCAGCAGUAGGGAAUAUUAGUUAAUGUGCGAAAGCGCGAACUAGCAACGCCGCGUGUGCGAUGACGGCCUUCGGGUUGUAAAGCACUUUUCUAAGGGACGAGGAAGGACGGUACCUUAGGAAUAAGCAUCGGCUAACUACGUGCCAGCAGCCGCGGUAAAACGUCUAGUG
rnacentral:rRNA from 1 species